AGAUAAAGAAGGUAAGCAAGGCCGCCACUGGCUGUUUCUCUCUGAAGAGUGGAGAGAUGAGAGGCAGUGAGCCAUCAGCGGCCUGCAUGCUUCUGCUCUGCAUUCCAAGUUUUGGAUUUUAUAUUUAUUAUUAUUAUUGUUAUCUCUCCUUCUUUUUCUCAUAAAAGCUUACGCUUUUUUAAUGCAAAUUGCAGAGGGCAGCUUCAAGAAGCAAGAACCCCACCGCCUAAUCGGUUCACUCUGGCACUGGGUCUGGGACAUUCUCUGUGGAAGCAAUAGGACCCACUGGGUCCGCCAUUGCUCUACCCGUCCCUGUUCUGGUCCCACCACUACCUGCUGUGAAAUUGGUGAAUCGGCUACAAGAGCCAUACCCAUGACUCUCUUUUUAACAAAACAAAAAAAUUUUUUUUGUUAAUUUGUGAACAUUUCAAAGGUCUUUCACGAAGGCUGUUGUCUUGCUUUUUGUGUAAAUUCAAGUAUGACCCAUGUAAAAUCUUGAUGCAAUAUUGGGCAAUGCUUCUGUUUUCCGAGUAAUCAUGUCAUAUGUAUAUAUAGAAUCAAUACAUCAACUUGCUAUAAAUGGCC
rnacentral:lncRNA from 1 species